AAAAUAAAAUUUGAUUUUAAAAAAAUUUAAUUUUUAAACUAGGAUUAGAUACCCUAUUAUUUUAAGCUUAAUGUUGAUAGUAAGUAAAAUUUAUGAAAUCAUAAAAUUUUGGCGGUAUUUUAAGCUUGUUAGAGGAAUUUGCUCUAUAAUGGAUACAACGCCUAUAUCUUACUUAAUUUUGUAAUUAAAGUCAGUUUGUAUACCACUAUAUUUAAUUAUAUUGAAUAAUUAUAUUUAAGAUUUUUAUAUAAAUAUAUAUUAAGUCAAGGUGCAACAAAUAAUUA
rnacentral:rRNA from 1 species